AGAGUUUGAUCAUGGCUCAGAAUCAACGCUGGCGGCGUGCCUCAGACAUGCAAGUCGAACGAUUAAACUUUCCUUCGGGAAAGAUAUAAAGUGGCGCACGGGUGAGUAACACGUAAGUAAUCUACCUUUGAGUGGGGAAUAACAGUCGAAAACGACUGCUAAUACCGCAUAAUGCAGCGGCAUCUAAUGAUGACAGUUGUUAAAGCGUUUACGCGCUUAAAGAGGAGCUUGCGGCAGAUUAGCUAGUUGGUAAGGUAACGGCUUACCAAGGCGACGAUCUGUAUCCGACCUGAGAGGGUGGUCGGACACACUGACACUGAAUAACGGGUCAGACUCCUACGGGAGGCAGCAGUCGGGAAUUUUGGGCAAUGGGCGAAAGCCUGACCCAGCAACGCCGCGUGAAGGAUGAAGUCUUUCGGGAUGUAAACUUCGUAAGAAUAGGAAGAAUAAAUGACGGUACUAUUUGUAAGGUCCGGCUAACUACGUGCCAGCAGCCGCGGUAAUACGUAGGGACCAAGCGUUGUUCGGAUUUACUGGGCGUAAAGGGCGCGUAGGCGGCGUGUCAAGUCAAUUGUGAAAUCUCAGGGCUUAACCCUGAACGGUCAAUUGAUACUGAUGUGCUAGAGUGCAGAAGGGGCAAUCGGAAUUCUUGGUGUAGCGGUGAAAUGCGUAGAUAUCAAGAGGAACACCUGAGGUGAAGACGGGUUGCUGGGCUGACACUGACGCUGAGGCGCGAAAGCUAGGGUAGCAAACGGGAUUAGAUACCCCUGUAGUCC
rnacentral:rRNA from 1 species